rnacentral:rRNA from 1 species
GCUUUCCGCGCCCUCUGUCCGUCGAUCCGGUGGCGAACGCGUGCACUUUUCUUCAGGUAGGACGUCGCGAUCCGUCGGGCGUCGUUCUACGGCCGUCGCAGGGAGUCCGCUCGUCGUCUUCACGGACGCGGGCGGACCCGCGCUUGUCCCGGCCGACUUGCUCGACGGUAUACGAAAGGUUUAAGGUUGCUCUUUAGGGAGCAUUUGGCUCGCGGCAAGCGUUCCAGAUGCGUCGGCGAUCGGACUCCGCGCCGAUUCUGACCUCCGGUGACUGUUGGCCGCGAAGUUCUCGAAAAGACCUUAGGACCGAUCCGCGACGCUAUAGCUUUGGGUAAUUUCAG